UAUUGGACAAUGGGCGAAAGCCUGAUCCAGCAAUGCCGCGUGAGUGAUGAAGGCCUUAGGGUUGUAAAGCUCUUUUACCCGGGAUGAUAAUGACAGUACCGGGAGAAUAAGCUCCGGCUAACUCCGUGCCAGCAGCCGCGGUAAUACGGAGGGAGCUAGCGUUGUUCGGAAUUACUGGGCGUAAAGCGCACGUAGGCGGCUUUGUAAGUUAGAGGUGAAAGCCUGGAGCUCAACUCCAGAAUUGCCUUUGAUACUGCAUCGCUUGAAUCCAGGAGAGGUGAGUGGAAUUCCGAGUGUAGAGGUGAAAUUCGUAGAUAUUCGGAAGAACACCAGUGGCGAAGGCGGCUCACUGUCUAGUAUUGACGCUGAGGUGCGAA
rnacentral:rRNA from 1 species